GUUCAUUUGACAGCAAACAGGGCAGGAUUAUAUUUUUCUUAUUUCAAUUUAAUUAUGAAAUUCUGCUAAAGGCCAUGUUCCAAAGCCUGGAUUUCAAGCUGCUUGUUUGCCAUGAAUUUACCAUUUCCAUGCGCUUUUAAAAGUCCUCAUUCUAGUGAACUGCAAAUGUAUUGGAGGAAGGAGGUCAUUGUUGUGCUGUAUAUAGCACAGUAGGUGCCAUUUCUAAAUCUGU
rnacentral:lncRNA from 1 species